ACGGGAGGCAGCAGUGAGGAAUAUUGGUCAAUGGGCGGAAGCCUGAACCAGCCAUGCCGCGUGAAGGAUUAAGGCCCUAUGGGUCGUAAACUUCUUUUGAGCGGGAGCAAUAAGGGCCACGUGUGACCCGAUGAGAGUACCGUUCGAAUAAGCAUCGGCUAACUCCGUGCCAGCAGCCGCGGUAAUACGGAGGAUGCAAGCGUUAUCCGGAUUUAUUGGGUUUAAAGGGUGCGUAGGCGGCGCGUCAAGUCAGAGGUGAAAGCCCUGUGCUCAACACAGGAACUGCCUUUGAUACUGUCGUGCUCGAAUACUGUUGCCGUGGGAGGAAUGAGUAGUGUAGCGGUGAAAUGCAUAGAUAUUACUCAGAACACCGAUUGCGAAGGCAUCUCACGAAGCAGGCAUUGACGCUGAGGCACGAAAGCGUGGGGAUCAAACAGGAUUAGAUACCCUGGUA
rnacentral:rRNA from 1 species